UAAAGAGUGUAUGGCGGAUGCCUAGACAUAAGAAAACGAAGAAGGACGUAGCAGCCUGCGAUAAGCUGCGGUGAGGUGGCAAGCAACCUUUGACCCGCAGAUCUCCGAAUGGGGAAACCCACUCCGUUGUUGACGGAGUAAGCGCUGCCGUUUGGUGGCGCUGGAAGACCCGGCAAACUGAAACAUCUUAGUAGCCGGAGGAAAAGAAAACAAAAGUCAUUCCCUUAGUAGUGGCGAGCGAACGGGGAGGAGCCUAAACCUGCCGAACUGCGGUUUUGAUCCAGCUUGCUGGGGAGAAAUCAGAAGGUUCUAGAACUAUAUGUUCCGCAGGGGUUGCAAGACAGCAUGUCUGUUCUCUAGAUUGAACAGAGCAGAGUCAUAAAAAAUAAUCUUUAGCAGAAGCGAGUUGGAAAACUCAGCCAGAGUGGGUGAUAGCCCCGUAAGCGAAAAGGAUUAUUUCUCUGUCGUGCUUAUUCUUAAGUAGUGCGGGACUCGUGAAAUCCCGUAUGAAUCCGGGUCGACUAUGACCCAAGGCUAAAUAUUUCUUAUGAUCGAUAGUGAACCAGUACCGUGAGGGAAAGGUGAAAAGCAUCCCGAGAGGGAGGUGAAAUAGUACCUGAAACCAUAUACUUACAAAGAGUCGGAGCCGCGCUUGCGCGGUGACGGCGUGCCUAUUGAAGAAUGAGCCAACGAGUUUGUUCUAUGUGGCUUACAUAAUCUCCUCCGGAGAGUAUGUGUAGUGAAAGCGAGGGUUAAUAGCCCGCAUUGCACUUCACUUUUACGCAUUAAGCAAUUAGUGCGUUAAAGUGAAGUACACGUCGCAUGGACAAGACCCGAAGCCGGGUGAUCUAACCAUGUCCAGGUUGAACUCUGUCGAAAGGCAGAGGAAGGACCGAACCCACGAGCCGUGCAACACUCGGGGAUGAGAGGUGGUUAGCGCAGAAAUUGUAAUCGAACUCGGCAAUAGCUGGUUCUCCUCGAAAUAGUUUUUGGACUAGCCUCGAGUGCUGACUGCGGGGGGUAGAGCACUGGAUGAGGGCGGGUCGCAAGAUACCGUCUUCAAUCAAACUCCGAAUACCCGUAGGUGCAGCUCGGGAGUCAGACCAUGGGCGCUAAGGUUCAUCGGUCAAAAGGGAAACAGCCCAGACCACAAUCUAAGGUCCCUAAAUAUAAGCUAAGUGUAAAAGGUGGUGUUGUGACCGCGACAAUUAGGAGGUUGGCUUAGAAGCAGCCAUCCUUUAAAGAUAGCGUAAUAGCUCACUAAUCAAGUUGUUUCGCGCCGAAAAUUUACCGGGGCUAAGCAUAUUACCGAAGAUGUGGACUCUAUGAUUUAUCGUAGAGUGGUAGAGGAGCAUUCUCUUCAGCGUUGAAGUCGUGUCGUGAGGCAUGGUGGAGCGGAGAGAAGUGAGAAUGUUGGCAUGAGUAGCAGAAAGGCGGGUUAAAAUCCCGCCCACCGAAAAUCUAAGGUUUCCUGGGCAACGAGAAUCGACCCAGGGUUAGUCGAUCCUAAGGUGUAUCUAAUGUAGUGUUAGAAUAACCGAUGGAAGAGCUGGUUAAUAUUCCAGCACUACUGUGUUUUUCCGAAGGAGGGACGCGGUUCUAAAGUUUGAGCGGGCACUGGUAUGUCCGUUGGGGGUUUCAAGAGGCGGCCUAGGCAAAUCCGGGCCAACAGCUUCAAGAAACAGCCAGAAGAUGAAGUCGCAAGAUGGAGUCAAUUCAAGUGGCAGAGCCGACGAGAAAAACUUCUAGGGCUAAGGGCACAGUAUCCGUACCGUAAACCGACACAGGUAGAUGAGGCGAGAAGCCUAAGGUGUACGAGAGAACCUUCGCUAAGGAACUCGGCAAAACAGCGGCCGUAAUUUCGAGAUAAGGCCUGCCCUGCGCAAGCAGGGCCGCAGCUAAAGAGCUCAAGGGACUGUUUAUCAAAAACACAGCUCUCUGCUAACUCGCAAGAGGAUGUAUAGAGGGUGAGGCCUGGCCAGUGUCCGAACGUUAAGAGGAGAGGUUAGCCCUUCGGGGCAAAGCUUUGAAUCCAAGCGCGGAUGAACGCCGGCGAUAACUAUAAUCGUCCUAAGGUUUUGCGGUUUAUCAUAUAGACCGCAAAAGACUGGGACGAUUAUAAAUUGAUAAAUAACAAAGUUCGUUGCCUAGCUAUGGCGAAAGCCAUGGUUGUCUAAAAUACUCAGUAAAAUGCGUGAAAAUCCUCAAAAGAUCAAAAGUACUCGGGGUGUCUACUCCAGUAAAAAUCUCUUGAUACACGGGGCAAACGCGCAGGAUUAAUAAUCCUCAGAGACUUAAAAACUGAGACUCUAAAAUAUGAAGGUGAAUCCCUAUUGGGUUAGCGGAUUUGUUGAUGGUGAGGGUACAUUUUAUGUUGGCAUUAAUCAUAACGAUUCGAUGAAAUCUGGUUUUCAAGUAUUACCGGAAUUCAGAGUUGUCCAACAUGAGAAAGAUAUCAAAGUGUUAUAUGCGCUUAAGACUUAUUUCGGAGCUGGCGUCGUCAGAGUAAAUCAUGACACGCGUCAGGAACUUCGAAUAAGAUCGUUAGACCAUAUAAACAGAUAUGUCAUCCCCCACUUCGAUAAAUAUCCGCUCCUAACUCAAAAGAAAUUUGAUUAUUUCAAGUUUAAGGAGAUUAUAAAGUUGAUGAAUUCCGGUCAACAUUUGACCAUUGAAGGCAUCAAACAUAUCAUCACUAUCGCUUCAAGAAUGAACAGGCAGAAUAAAGAAUCAGCGCCGUUUAUCUUAGAAGCAUUAAACUCAUAUCACGAGUAAGAUAAAGUCCAUUCUUAAUAGAAAUAUUAAGUAAGUGAAGAGCGAAAUUCCUUGUCGGGUAAGUUCCGACCUGCACGAAUGGCUUAACCACUUGAGCACUGUCUCAGCGAAGGACUCGGUGAAAUUGCAAGACGAGUAAAGAUGCUCGUUAACCACAGUUGGACGAAAAGACCCCGUGAAGCUUUACUACAACUUGAUAUUGAAUUAGGAAUAUGUAUGUUCAGAAUAGGUGGGAGCCUUCGGGCAACAGUGAGAUACCACCCUUGCCUAUUUUUAAUUCUUACCCCGCAUAGCGGGGGACAGUUUCUGGCGGGUAGUUUGUCUGGGGCGGAUGCCUCCCAAAAUGUAACGGAGGCGUUUACAAAGGUUGGCUAUCCCGGAAUGGAAACCCGGGAGAUAGUGUAAAGGCAUAAGCCAGCUUUACUGCGAGACUUACCGGUCAAGCAGUCGCGAAAGCGGAACUUAGUGAUCCGACCAUUCAAUAUAGAAUGGUGGAAGCUCAUCGGAUAAAAGCUACUCCGGGGAUAACAGGCUAGUCAGGUCCAAGAGUCCACAUCGACGACCUGGUUCGGCACCUCGAUGUCGGCUCGUCGCAUCCUGGGGGUGGAAAAGCUCCCAAGGGUUGGGCUGUUCGCCCAUUAAAGCGGCACGCGAGCUGGGUUCAGACCGU
rnacentral:rRNA from 1 species